rnacentral:lncRNA from 1 species
GGCAAAAGAUUUGUUGGCCUUUCCUUAGCAGAUAGGGGUGUGGAUGUGUGGAGGAAAAUAGUUUUUGGCCCCUUAAGAGGCUCCAAAAGAAGCUUGGAUUAGCAAUAUAAGGUAUAUAAAAUUUCUUAGUCUUUCUUUCUUUCUCCCCCAACUUAGUACAAAGAAAGAGAAUAUAUAUUUAUGAUGUGCACACAUACAUGUAAGGAAAUAAACUGUGGUUUUAAUGCUUAGUCAAGGUAAUAUAGAACAAGAAAGUCAUGGCUUGAAUUUCUUCUCCCUUUUUUUUUUUUUUUGGAAACUUAGAUUCCUUUACUCUCACUGUACUAAUCUGCUCUCUUCUCACUUCUGUCAAGAUUCUGUCAAAACACAAAAAGAUAUUACUUUAGACUAUGAUGGUUCGAAGAAAGUGAUCUUGGGGUCUUGCUUCAAAAGAAACAUUAUAUAAUUGUGUGAAGAAGGUACAACUCGACAAUCUUCGAUGAAAAUAGAUGCUAAACUCGUAUUUAAUUUUUGUAUUUUUCAUUGCGUGGACCGAUAAUUGAGUUGUAAGAUGCAUGUUUAAUAUAUAUAUAGACAUUAAUAGUGAGAUGUAAUUAUGUGCAACGAAUGCUUUGUGGAGAAAAGGACAUUAUAUUGUACUUUUGGGACCACAAGAUAUGGUGUCUUGUGUGUAGAGAUUUGAGAGGCAC